GCCAGGAUGAUGUAGUGGUUAGAGCAUUGGACUAUGAGUCUGGAGACCAGGGUUCAAAUUCCUGCUUGGCC